GGCCUACCAUGGUGGUAACGGGUAACGGGGUGUUAGGGCACGACACCGGAGAGGGAGCCUGAGAAACGGCUACCACAUCCAAGGAUGGCAGCAGGCGCGCAAAUUACCCAAUCCCGACACGGGGAGGUAGUGACAAUAAAUAACAAUACGGGGUUCUUUCGGAUCUCGUAAUUGGAAUGAGUACAAUUUAAAUCUCUUAACGAGGAACAAUUGGAGGGCAAGUCUGGUGCCAGCAGCCGCGGUAAUUCCAGCUCCAAUAGCGUAUAUUAAAGUUGCUGCAGUUAAAAAGCUCGUAGUUGAAUUUCGGGAUCAAAUUGUCGGUCGUGCCUCGGUACGUACUGGCGUUAUUGGUUCCUCCCUUCUGAAGAACCACGAUGUCAUUAAUUUGGUGUCGCGGGGAAUCAGGACUGUUACUUUGAAAAAAUUAGAGUGUUUAAAGCAGGCUCGCGCUUGAAUACAUUAGCAUGGAAUAAUGAAAUAGGACGUUUGAUUCUAUUUUGUUGGUUUCUAGGAUCGACGUAAUGAUUAAUAGGGAUAGUUGGGGGCAUUAGUAUUCAAUUGUCAGAGGUGAAAUUCUUGGAUUUAUUGAAGACUAACUACUGCGAAAGCAUUUGCCAAGGAUGUUUUCAUUAAUCAAGAACGAAAGUUAGGGGAUCGAAGACGAUCAGAUACCGUCGUAGUCUUAACCAUAAACUAUGCCGACUAGGGAUCGGAUGAUGUUAAUUUUUUAAUGACUCAUUCGGCGCCUUACG
rnacentral:rRNA from 1 species